UCUUAUGUACAUUUUAUACAUGAUACACUAAUCUGAUGUGCAAGAUCCAUUAAUCUGAUGCGCGAGAUAUAUUAAUUUGAUGCAUUCAAACAUUAAUCUGAUGCAUGAAAAUGAGGGAUUUUGGAAAUUUGUAAACCUAAUAGGGGAUAAUGGUAAUAAGAAAACUUAAAUGUGAGAUUUCUAUCAUUUUCCCUUUAUUUAAUGCAAGGAUAAAAUUGUAACCCAGAGCUUUCCACUUUUAGUAUUAAUAUGAUAUGAUAUGAUUAACUAUCACACGGAAGAUUACUUCAUCUUAAUUUCGUGCAAGAGGUUAGCCCAAUGUGAGGCAGUCAAGUCACAUUUAACGCAAUCCUUUCGCAGCCUAGUCUGCCUAAAGUUUUAAGGACAUUUUUUUUCUGCUUUAGAUUAUUUUGCAGUAUGUAUUCAACACUGAAAUGAACACAGAAUCAUACGGUCAAACCCAACCUUUUUAUUAAUAAUCAAAACAAAUACAAAGGACUCACUCGUCAGGAUAACAAGUUUAUCUCUACUUCGACGUAAGACACAAUCACAAGUCGAUUGUUGUCUUUGACACCUUUUAAAACCCUCUCGUUUUUUUCUAAGUGUAUUAGUGAAAUUCCUGACUUAAUCCUUCCUCUUUCACUCUUAGGAUAACAAGCCUAUCCUCUCUAAAUUAGUCCAACAUACAAGGCUGUCCAUUUAUAGAUCAUGUGGCAACCUUGUGGUUUACAUUGCAUAGUGUUGCGACACAUGUCUAACACUUGUCAAGCCCUUAACCUACUAAAUUAAACUACAGUUGACACCCCCAAUUGAUAAGACACUACAUAUUUUGAAUUCAAAAAGCAUAUCCAAGUACAAUGAAUCUAGACACAAGCGGUUACAAAAAGGUAACCGCCGCAUGUGCUUGGCAUGUGACUUUGCUAAUUGAAUGGCCCUUUGCUGCCAUUUUCCUCCAUAAUUGUGACUCUAAUACAAUGUAUAAACUUUUUAUAGUCAUUAUUUUAUCAAAGUCCACCUGAAUCCAUCUGCCCAUUUUCCAUGCUUGCGCACUACCAACGCCUUGCUGCUGCCUUGCCUGCGUUUGCCUUGGACAUGCUAGCUUUUUAUUCACUCGUGCCAUUCACUAUUUUCUUGCUGCGUUUCAUCCAUAUUUGACUAUGCUUUAAUUUAGCUCGGCUCGAUAUUCCUGUACUUGACUAGACCAUGUGUUUUUCUUAUGCCAAACCUACCACAAAUGAUGCCGGUCAGCGCCCAUGACAUGUAACGGCCUGUUGCCUUGCCAUCGUCUAUGUAAUGUCAUGACACUGCCUUUCCAGCAUUAUUUCGUACAAUUAGUCCAUGUUAACACUUUUCUCAAACAACGUAUGAUUGAUUCCACCCACACUUUGUCCCUUAACAAAGUCAUUCAUGCCAACCCUUUGUCGCCAUUGUGCCUAUGUCAAGUAACUUGGUCAGGACCCUUACAAGCUUUCCCCCACCCAAGGGAACUCCACUUACUCGUCAAGGAUUUCUCUCAUCUCACCCUAUUUGGGUUCCGGACAAGAAUCAUAUCUUGCCCAUCAUCUUCAACUUACGCCAAAGUGUUUACAUUUGACGUUGCUGCCUCAUUUUUUCUUUUCUAUUUCCAAUUCGGCAGCAAGCAUAGUAUUCACUUUCACUUGCACCUUACAGUCCCUUAUUUUUAAAUGUAGACCCCCACAAGUAAAGCAUCCCGCCAACUUUCCCUUCUAUUUUGGAAAGGAAGACCCCCCUUGUCUAGUUUUCCCACAUUUCUCUUCCUUUUCAACAGAUUGACCCUUCUGGUUUUUUCUUCCACUCCUUCCCCUUAUCCUUCUGUUUGAAGUGUGAAGCAUCCCUUGGAUCGUCACCCUCAUCGAAUUUAGCCAACUUAUUUACUUCCACUAUGACAGAAUUAAGAGUUUGAAAAUUUUUACUUCUUAAUUCUCUUUGUGUCUAUCUUUUCAACCCGCUUAUGAAAUAGUGCAACUUGUCUUCCUCAACCAUGUUGCCUAUGUUCAACUCAAGGAUGAAAAAUCCUUGAUAUAAGCCCUCACGGUGCUGCUUUGUUUCAAUCACUGCAACCUGUCCCUUGCCAACCAAGACGAAUUACUUCGAAGAAAUUGAGUUUUCAAUUUUUUCUUCAACAUUUCCCACGUUUCAAUUUGUGGUAGAUUCGAACCUUCCAAUUCACCCACCCCUGUUCUCCACCAAACCUUGGCAUCAUCAGUUAAGUACAUUGUUGUGCCUGACUCCUUUUCACCAUCCAGAACCUUUGCUGCCUUGAAAGUAGUUUUUGACAUCCCAAAGAAAGUUCUCCAAUUCCUUAGAACUCCUUACACCAUUAUAAGCCUUAGGUUCUUGAACCUUCAUCCUUAUGAGGUUAAUUUUCCCUUGUAGUGCCCGACAUAGAAGAAGAACUUCACCACGCAAGUCUUCCUUUUCUUUGCGAACGAGUUUCAUCUCUUGUUAGGCAAUUUCUUAUUUGACUGCAUAUUUUGCCUCCAACAACAAAACUUUUUCGUUCAAGGCCUCCUUGGUCAAGGUUAACUUUGCAUUAAUACUUUGAAUUUGAGUGAUCAGAUCAACCAAGUCCAACACAUUGUUUGUCCCACCAAUUAGCGCUUCCAAUCAUGUCACCUCUCCCGUAGUUCAGCAUUUCCACCAGCCAUUGAGUAAUCUAAGCAAUGAUCUGAUACCAGAUUGUCACACGGGCAGAUUACUUCACCAUAAUUUCAUUCAAGAGGUUAUCCCAAUGUGAGGCUAUCAAGUCCCACUUAACUCAUUCCUUUCGCAGCCUAGUCUGCCUAAAGUUAUAAAGACAUUUUUCUUUUUCUGCCUUAGAUUACUUUUCAGUCUUUCAACAAUGAAAUGAACAUAUAAACAUAUGGGCAAACCCAAUCUUUAUAUUAAUAAUCAAAACAAAUACAAAUGACUCACUCGUUAGGGUAGCAAGUCUAUCCCAACUUCGAAUUCGACUUCGACUUAAGGCACAAUCACAAGUUGAUUAUUUUCUUUGACACCUUUUAAAACCCUCACAUUUUGUUUACUUAUCUUAUUGAAAUUCCGUAAUUAAUCCUCCCUCUUUAACACUUAGGAUAACAAGUCUAUCCUCUAUAAAUUCGUUCAACACACAAGGCUAUCCAUUUAUAGAACAUGUGGCAACUGUGUGUUUUACAUUGCAUAGUGUUGUUACACAUGUCUAAAACUUGUCAAGCCCUUAUACCACUAAAUUAGACUUCAGUUGACGCCCCCAAAUAAUAAGGAAUUUGAAAUUUUCAAUUCAAGCGGUUACAAAAAUAUAAUUGCCGCAUGUGCUUGGAAUGUGACUUUGCUAAUUGGAUUUCGGCCUUUUGCUGACAUUUUCCUCCAAAAUUUUGGCUCCAAUAUAAUUUAUAAACAUUGUAUAGUCAUUAUUUAUCAAAUUCCACCCAAAUCCAUCCUCCCAUUUUCCAUGCCUGCGCACCACCAACACUUUGCCGCGACCUUGCCUACGUUUGCCUUGGACAUGCUAAAUUUUUAUUUACUCGUGCCGUUCACUGUCUUGCUGCGUUUCAUCCAUAUUUGAAUAUGCUUGAAUUAAUUUCAGCUCUAUUUUCCCGCACUUGACCAGACCAUGUGUUUUUCUCAUGCCAAACCUAUCCACAAUUGAUGUCGGUCAUCGUCCAUGACAUGUCAGGGCGUGUUGCCUAGCCAACGUCCAUUUCAUAUCAUGACACUGCCUUUAAAACAUUAUUUGGUACAAUUAGGACAUGUUAACACUUUACUCAAACAACACAUGAUUGAUUCCACUCGCACUUUGGCCCUUGACAAAAUCAUUCAUGCCAACCCUUUGCCGCCACCGUGCCUAUGUCGAGCAACUUGGUCAGGACCAUUACAAACCAAAGAUUUUGAGCACACAAUAUUUAGCCCAUGAUAUUUUACAAAAGUGGGUUUCUUAUUAUUUAAGUCCUUACAUGUUCAAAAGAUAAAGAUGAUGGUGGAUAGUUACAAUUUUCUUAAAUGGACGAAUCCCUAAUAAAAACUUUCCUCCCUCAUUUCCAAUUUUUCCUCCACCAAACCACCAUAUUUCCUCCAGUACACCUCACUCCCUUCAAACUCUUCUUCUCCGAAAAAUACAAACCAAAACCCCAAUCAUUCCAGUUACAAAACAAUAACCAACAACAACGAUCAAUGCCAUCUCCACGAAGCUUCAGGACCAGACGAUCCCAAGUUCUUUCCCUUUAACCCUUUUUGAUAUUUUGUCUAUGUUUUGCAGAUCAAAGCUCCAUCAAACAAUGAGCUCAAAGCUCUGAACUCCAUCUCCGCAUGGCUCUAACUUUGUUAAACAAAAAUCAAAGUGCCGUGGUAACUCUAACUUCAGUGUAUAACAACCAGUCAUCGCAAAGAUAAAUCCUUCGUGACUCCGACAUAAGACAAUUGUCUUCUCCUUUUUUUUGUUGGUAUUUGGAUAGAGGAGCAAAGAAUGGACACUAAUGAGCAAAAAGGAAUGAGGCAACUGUAAGAACGAAGAAAAGAAGGUUUGUUGAUCGCCUAAACCAUUGGGCGACUUGCCGAAUGAACAUGAUCUUGCCUAAAGUUCUAGUGUGCCUAACCCUGAAAGAGAAAAUCAAGUUGGUGUGUUGCUGUACGGUUUCGCAAUGCAGUGUUGGAUCGUAAAAAGGUUACAUAACUUGAGGAUGCUAAAGGCCAUAGCAAAAACGCGAUGGAAUUGUUGACCAAAGGCGGAUCACCAAGUGGAUCGGCAAUCCUCACUUACUGCACCGAAUGGUCCUUCGCAGCAGUUUUGUGGCGACUAUAAAUACAUUUUUAAAUAUAUAUUUUGAAUCUAGUUUCUUAUCAAUCAGUUUUCAUAGUUUCAUAGUUUAGAACUGAGAGUAUUGAGACAAUAUUUUUCUUAGCUUUGAAGAUUUGAAGUUUUCUAUUUUUGAGAAAUUCGAAGUGGGUCUUUGAGAAUCUUUAAUUUGGAUCUUUGUAAAGACGAAAUUAAUCUUACCCAGUUGAUGAGAAAACGCAAUUUGGUAACAA